UACGGCUAGGACUACCGGGNUAUCUANUCCGGUUUCGUGCCCCUAGCUUUCGUCCCUUCACCGUCGGACCCGUUCUAACAAGACGCCUUCGCCACUGGCGGUCCCUCAAGGAUUACAGGAUUUCACUCCUACCCNUAAGGUACUUCUUGCUUCUCCCGGUCCCAAGACCAGCAGUAUCCAUUGGCAGCCUUACGGUUAAGCCGUAAGAUUUCCCAAGGGACUAACUGGUCCGGGCUACGGACCCUUUAAGCCCAAUAAUAGCGGGCCACCACUCGAGCCGCCGGUGUUACCGCGGCGGCUGGCACCGGUCUUGCCCGGCUCUUAUUCCACAUGCUUUUUAGGCGUAUGAAAAGCGUACGCAUUGCGCACGCACUCGAGGUCCCCUUAUCGCGCUUUCGCGCAGUGUAAAGUUUUCGCGCCUGCUGCGCCCCGUAGGACCUGGAUUCGUGUCUCAGAAUCCAUCUCCGGGCUCUUGCUCUCACAACCCGUACCGAUUAUCGGCUUGUUGGGACGUUACCCCAGCAACUACCUAAUCGGCCGCAGACCCAUCCUCAGACGCUAAAGCUUUGAACCGUAAGGCAUUCCAGCGUUCACGGAUUAUCCGGUAUUAUCUCCAGUUUCCCGGAGUUAUCCCAGAUCUGAGGGUAGGUUGUCCACGUGUUACUGAGCCGUAAGGGCGAAUUCCAGCACACUGGCGGCCGUUACUAGUGGAUCCGAGCUCGGUACCAAGCUUGG
rnacentral:rRNA from 1 species